rnacentral:snRNA from 1 species
AUUGCUUCUCGGCCUUUUGGCUAAGAUCAAGUGUAGUAUCUGUUCUUAUCAGUUUAAAAUACAAGGUGAAAUAAUAAAUGAUUAAUGUACUAACACAAUUAUAUGGUUUAUGAUACUUAAU